AUUGAACGCUGGCGGCAGGCCUAACACAUGCAAGUCGAGCGAGCGGCGGACGGGUGAGUAAUGUAUGGGGCCUGCCCGAUAGAGGGGGAUAACUACUGGAAACGGUGGCUAAUACCGCAUACUAUCGGAUAACCCAUAUGGGAUUAGCUAGUAGGUGGGGUAAAGGCUCACCUAGGCGACGAUCUCUAGCUGGUCUGAGAGGAUGAUCAGCCACACUGGAACUGAGACACGGCCCAGACUCUUCCGGAGGCAGCAGUGGGGAUUAUUGCACAAUGGGCGAAAGCCUAAUGCAACCAGGCCGCGUGUAUGAAGAGGGCCUUAGGGUUGUAAGGUACUUUCGGCGGGGAGGCGUAACCCACAGAAGAAGCACCGGCUAACUCCGGGCAAGCAGCGGCGGAAUUC
rnacentral:rRNA from 1 species